GCAUUAUCUCUGCUUGAUUUCAGUGGAGCUACUGCAGGGUAAGCUGCCUCUCAAUACAACCAAGCUUAAACUGGACCAGACUGUACGUUUAAAGGUGCUGAAGUCCCCUGACCAGGAUGAGUCCCAGCUCACUGUGACAGCAGCAUCAAGUUUCUCCUGAAGGAAAGCUGAGGAGGAUGAAGGCGGGGGAGGAAUGAAUAGGCUGAGGAAGCAGGAGCACAGAGCAUGGAAGACAGGGCUCAGACACCUCCUUGCUUUUAGCCCCUGGUCUUUCCUGAGGCUUAUUCCCAGGAAGGGACAUGGUCCCACUGCUGGGGACAGGUGAGAUUGCUCUCCACUCUGCUGCUGCACCUCGCCAGGGAAAGGUUUGUGGCUCCUCUCUCUAUAGGACUCGGGAAAUUAUGGGCUGUUUCACCCCCCCAUGACUCAGAACUGAAAGUUAGUGUGUCUACAUUGCCCUUUCCAAUUUAAAGCAGAAAAAAAAAAGUUGUGUUCAGAAAUCACCACGUUGCUUCCAAAAAGGUUAAAGUUUACCCACCAGGGUGCCUCUUGAAGGUGUGAGAUUUUCAACAUUGAAUAUAAAAUGGAUGAGGGUAAGACACGCCUUUCUCUUUUUCUAAGGAUGCACUCAUUUAGUGGUUAAACUUGAAAAGGGGCUAAGAGAAACAUCCUGAAUUACAGUUUAAAUGAGUUUAAAAUUCCAGUUACUUAUAGCUUAAAAGAAAAAAAAAAAAAAGUGUCUGAAACCAAAUGGUCUCAGUGGGGCGGUGCAUGGGCAAAACGUAAAAUGACACAUAAUGAAAUAAAGUAAUUUUAUUUGCAAACCUGUUCAGGAGCCUGGUACAGACUGUAACGAUCAAGCAGAAGCAGUCUCUCAUUUCUCUUGGUGUUCCUUUGCAGAGUUAUGUGACCCAAGAAAGAAAACAUUAAGAUGUUCUGAUUUCACCCUAUAGGACAGAGAAAUACGCUUUGGUUAAUGCUUACCAUAAUUCUAUCUACUUGGCUCAGACAGUUAUAUUUUUAUGAAUCUUACGUUACUUUCUGUCACCCUCUAGGCAACAAUAUAGAGUUAUUACAGUAUAAAGGAAAAUGCUUCCUGUUGAGCUUAUACUUGAACAAGUCUUAACCAAGUGGAAGCUCUUAAUAAAAGGGUAAAUAUACUAAGGAAUAAACAGGUACAGCGAAUAAAAAGGAGUACCGGAUUUAUUGAUGCUUAGGUUCAUGGCAUAGACUAGCGAAAGGUAGAAAACUCCAAGGUAAAGCUGGCAGGCCGAGCUCGGUCAGAAAUCUGAGGGAGUUAGAGUUUUGUUAAGUGAAUUUAGUGCUCAUUAAGGGAUUUGCGGUGUCAGCAUUACCGAGUGGAGUCCUCUCUCGCCCUCACAUCAGCAAGAGCGUAGUGCAGCAAGAUUAAUUCUGCGUCCGUCCUCUUCUUGGCCUCCUCAAUAAAAUUAUCACCCAGGGACCCAAUUGUUCGGUGCUAGCCGGUGCAUACCUGCUCGCCAGGAAUUUAGCUGAGAUCACCCCCUCCUUUAAUGCGGCAUGCGGAUCGUAGUGCCCUGCACUGGGCUGGGCUUCAAACACCAGAUUAACCUUGUGUUAUUUUUUUUAUUAUUAUAUUUUUUUUUGCUCCGUAAUGAUUUAUUUGCAUACCUUUAGUAACUGCAUAAUGCACAGAAGCCUUUAUUGGCUGGCCUGUGCACUGGCAUCGCUUCUUCACUCGAUGUGUACCUGGGAGGAGGUGUCCUGGUCUUUGCAAUAAUGGGUAGGGGCAGGCACCCCGCUGUCCUGGGGGCUUGCUUGUGCCAGCUCUUGGUGGCAGGAGACCCUUAUACCAACCAUUAAGAGCUGCAUAGACCUACUGGUUACAGAUAACUUCCAGCCUGAGUUGAAAGGAAGAUAUUGUCACUAGUGCUGGCUGCUUUCGUUAAGAGCAAUGACAACGCUUUGGUUCCCUCUGAAAUGCCCACACAAAUUGUUUCCUUCUGCUUUACAUCUCUCUACCAUCAUUUUUUCCCCUUGUUCUCACUCCAGUUAUUUUGACUAAAAGUUUGUUUUGCAUAGCAGAGGAAAUAGAGAUCUGCAAAUACUAAACAGACUCAAGCAAAAAUAUUGGUGCACAUGUUCUCAAAUUAGUUACAUGGAGUGUGGCUCUAGAAAACGCUGGUGAGUUUGGAAAAAAUGAACUUGGUCUGGCUGUGUAUCUUUCCCUCUCAGCCGAAACCAGCGUUCAUAUAGUUUUCAUUCUGCUGGAAACUAUUCACAAUGAGUAUACAAGUAUAUUGCAAACCCUCUUUUCCUAUGGCCCCAUGCGGCUUUUUAAGCCCAGAUAUUAAGCCUUCCUCAGCAUUACCUUAUCCUUUCGUCCAGACAUCAUUCAAAGGUACAGUUGACUUUCUAAAUUACAUCAUAUGUAAGUAGAUUUAUUUUUCCUUUUCUGCAGAUAUAGUUUAAUUUCCUUUUCCAAUUUGCAUGGGUGCACACUCAUAAAUUUUAAAUAUAUUUAACCUCUUUUCAAAAGACCCUUUGAAUUUCUCUAAGGUCUGUGCCCUCUGAGUUGGAUACACAAUCUUUUGUACAUAAAAACCCACCAAGACUUCCAGAAAUGCUGCAUUAAACACCUCCCUGCGUUUCCAAAAGGCUCUCUCUUUCCCUCAUGAAACAAAACGUCCCCCUGCAUGAUGCUUCUGUUAGCCUGUAAUGGAGAGACAUUUGUUGGGGCUUUGCUGGAAGCACAGUUCAUUGAGUACCAAAAUAGUGAGGGAAGGUCAGCAGGGCUGUCCUGGGCCCCAACAGACAUCCUGCCAGCCCAGGGUCCUGGACAUGGCCCCGACCAGAGCCCACAGCUGCUGGAGGAAGGCAGAGGAGAUGUUUCAGCAUAGCAGAGAUGGACUGACCUGUGCCCAUGGCAAGUCUUCUGUCACUGCCUGAGGCAUUAAGAAUUGAUGAAAGGAUCCCACACCAAACUCUUUAUUUAAUUUUUCUUUUUCUUCUCAAGUGCCUGUAACCUCUGAGUAGUCACCUUGCCACCCAGGUGGCAUUACCACCAUCACCUCUCUUUUGUUCCUCACCAUUAGAUUUCCCUUUAGGGGAGCACCCCCUUUGGGAAGCCCACAUCUACACCCACUUUCCAACCAGAUGAUGAGGAUAAACUAUUUCUUUGUCUUGCCAAAGAGAAGGGUGAGGAGCAGAAGGCUCCUCAGCAGGACCUGCCUCCCAGGCACAGUGCUCCACUCAGGUUUGGGGUAGAAUAGCUGCUGGGGGGUUGUUUUAAACCUGGCCAUGGCUACAAUUGCUGGUUCAAUUUGGGUGGCCAGGCUGGGAGAGCCCAUUUUUCACACCAGAGGUGACCUGGGGAAUGCAAAGGGUGGCAAUGGGAACCGCAUGGAAGCUGUACUUCUGUCCCCACUCCGCGCCCCAUGGCACAUCCCGGCUGCUGGUACCCAAGCCCAGCUCACCGCAACACCAGAGCCCCCCAGAGAGCACACAAAAGACCUGUGGUUGUUCAGCGAGGACCACCUGCCUCUCCUUGUUUUGGUUUGUAAAUGUAAUUAUCCAAAAACAUAUAUAUCAUCCUAAUCUUUCCCAGAUGUCGUGGUGCUGGCUUCGUUCGGGUCUUGCCCGUGCGGGCUGGAGGGGAGCUCGCAGCCUGCCUGGCUCGGUGUGGAGGGGGGCGAGGGGCUUGCUCUGCUCCGAUGCCUUUGUCUCCUGCCUGCUCUGCCAGCACGGAGGUUUUCUUUGGGGAGCCACUGCUCUGAGGAUGCUCUGAGAGGAUGCAACCUUAAAACCAGCGCGGUCGCAGAGAAUGAUAAUGAGGGCGUUUAUUAAAGUCGUUUACCAGGCAGGAACAGAGUGCACAGGAAGCAUAGGAUAGAAGAGCGUGCGGAGUAAUUGCUUAACUAAACCUGCUGCUGCUCACAAUUUCAGAAACCUUCACGGGGAAGAUAAAGGAGAGGUUAAAACACGCUUCUCCCCUCUGCCCCCAUCCCAUGCCUGGCCCCACAGCAUCCGCCUCAGCCCUUGGACCCCUGGCCAGGUGCUGUGCUGGGAGCAGGGUGCAUGUCUGCUGGUCCUACCCAUCACCAGCACCGUAGGUCGUGCCCUCCCCAUCGCCCAAAAAGCCCCCAUCCAGCAAAAGGGCUUUGUUUGAGCUGGCCCCCAGGGAAAGCCCAGUCCUAACGCUGGGCUCGGUCCUUUUGUUUGCAGGUUAAAAACUUGACCUUCCCCUCCCCUGAGCCCCAAACGGCCCUCGUAGCACUUCUGUCCAGCAAUUACAUCUUCUUUUUAGAUCUUACUCAGGCAAACAGAAGGACUGCGAUAACAUAAAUAGGUCUCAAAACCUUUUGUGUGGGGGAAAAAAAUACAUAGGAAAGAGAAAAACGAGGGGAAAGAAAUGCGUGUGUCUCUAAUUGGCAUAAUUCCUUCAGCCCUGGCUCAUAAUUUAAGACGGAUCAAUUCUGGAGCUGACAUGAUAGAUGUCAUCAUCAAUACUCGGAAACAGCGAUUUAUAUUUCUGCGUUCAGGGACACAGCCAUCGACGCACCUCGGCGGGGGUCCUGCAUGCGAGUCAGGAGCAGGAUGUGGCCGGCAGACGGAGACUUGACUGAGACUUCCAGCCACGCAACUUAUUAAAAUAAUAAAUAUUUUCAUUAUCCACAGAAUCCAUUAUACUUCUCCGUUUUAGCAAUAGUUAACUAAUAAUUUGGAUUAAUUACCAAGCUAAAUCAUUAAAAAUUAAAUCCAUAUAUUUCUUUUCUUUAAAAGAGUGAUAGUUUGCAACCAUUUGUGUAUUACGCAUGUUAAGUGGGAGGGUGAUGAAAUAUGUUGUGUUAACUGAGCUUUGACAGCAUCUGUAUCCAUGCCACAUUAUGCUCUGGUCUUAUCAAAUCUCAGAAGCUACUGUGUAUAAAUAGACUGUGAUGAUAUUUGCGGGAGAGAAAUCAUUCACAAUAAUUUUUUGGCAUCUUCUGUAGUGACUAGAGAAGAACCGUCUAACGAAUAUAGCAUAUAAUAAUGCAAUAAAGGGGUAUAUAAGAGCCCGGGAUGAGGAGCACUUGUACUGAAUCAGAGUUAUGGUUCAGCACACGCUACCUAUCAGACAUAAACACAACUUUCAUCCUAAGGAAUUUCAGAGCAGAUUGCAAGUGGAAACGAAUAGGGAAACCCAAUUCAGAGGUCAUUUUGCUCUCUGCUGAAGCAACGAUUGGCACCGUGAUGGAACUUCGCAGUUACUUAAUGAAACAUUAUCAGCUCGAAGACAUAUAGGUGCGGGGGGAAGUAAUGCUGUCCAGUGAGUAACAUUAUUUAUGAAUGUGCAUUUUAUUACGUUUGGAAUACUAAACUAGGGGCUGUGCAGCAGCACAGACUGUGUGUUACUGAGCUCAAUACAGGAAAAAAAACUGUGAAACUGGAUAGGCUGUGAUAUACAGCUGGCUGGACUAGAUAAUCCAGUGGUUUUACCUUGCUGUAAACUCUGUGAGGUUAUGAAAGGAGCUACGUUUAAAACUCCAUUAAGCUUAAGCCUGUAAGUAUCUAAUUAAAGUGGGGCGCUGUACUGAAAUUUAAAUAGCAACCUUCUUGUUAUAAAACAUAUUCAAUGGACUACUUAAGAGCCCACUGGACAAACAAAACACAUCCUAAAGCUCCGGGGGACUGAUUCUGCAGCACCUACUCUAAUUCAGGAGCACGUGUCCCUGAGGAGCCGGUACUGCUUGGCGUGGUGACGAGUUGCAGGAGCAAGACUAAAUAAUGCUUCCUGCCUUCUCCAUCCUUUGGAAGAGAUUUGUGUCUGGGCUUUAUGUAAACACCCACCGAGGGACUGUAUAUGUCAUGUCCCAGCUUACACGGGAGCUCGGAGCGGUUGCUGGAGCUCUCUGUGAAGACAGACUUGCAAAGAGAUGUGCAUUGCACGCUGAAAAAAAGUGUACCUGUGCUCAGUGGCCUUCCUUCUGAGCAGGGUAGCAAUUUGCCCUCUGGAGGAAAUGCUGAUGGAUUAUUUUUUUGGGGCAAAAUCACGUCUGCAUUGGUGUGGCACAAGUUGGGUAAUGAAGGAGAGAAUCACGUCCUUGAAACACACUGUAGCGAUGCUGAGGAAUUUCCUGUGCUAGUCACCAGAAGCUUGUUUAAAAAUUUCUGUAUCUCCCGGUACCUCUGGAACUCCUUUCCUGGCCUGCAAAAGCGUUCGGCUAAGGUCCUGUGAAUUCCCUGAGAAUUAAUUCGUUGCUCGCCGGGUGAACGUUGUUUUAAAGGUAGGUUAUGCUGAAGAGAUACUAGAGAGAGAUUUUUCACACAGGAUGUGAAGAAUGUAGUAUUUCUCACCUCCCCCUUAUUUUAUGUUGCAUUAAAAUUAUCUUUACUCUUCCUCCGGCAGUUGCUAUGCCGCACUCAAGACAGAGAGUCUGGGAAGUGGGAAAUGUCAACUUUUAAGAUGAUGUUCAGCUUUCUUGUUACACGCAUUCUUUAUGUAAUGGGUUUGAAUUACGUGUUGUUCACAGGCUUUCAGCUCUUCUUAGAAAGUUAGCUUGACUGGGCACGGUUGCUUGCUUAUUCUUAAUAAAGAGUUGAUGACACUGGAAAGAGCCCAAUAAGGAGCUGAGCAAUUUCUAGGUGAAUCUUUAAGAAUAUACAUACAACGAGCAGGAUUAGAUGGCACAUAGUUUAUUUGUAUUUAUACAACACCAUGCUUUCCUAGAAAGGCAGGUUUCACUCCUGCAAGAGCUGCAAACCACAUCGCCAAGUCCCACAGCAAGGGGUGAUCGAGGGGGAUUGGUGACUGCAGAAAAGCCACGGGUUGCAACAGGCAGCAUAAAAUGUGUUCCUUCAGUCAGAGGCCCAAGAUCCUUCCAGAUCUGUGCUCAUUUAUUGCACAUCACGGUUAGGAUCAUGCUAUGCUUUGUCAUAUAUGGGACACAUCAUGGAAAAGGAAAAUUCAGGGCUGGAAGGGUAACCUGCUGGUGUGGGAUCAUAUACAAGGAGCUUCAAAAAUGCCAUCAAGGCCAGCAUUGGCUGCUAAGUUGAGAUUUUCAAGUGAUAUUAAUUUCAAUGCAGUUAGUCUUGAUGUACUCUGCUCUGCCUGAGAAUCGCAGCCGAUGGGGAAGAAAAGAACACAGCAAUAACAAUAUACAUGCAAGAAAUGUAAAAGAAACAAAAAAAUCUCAUGUAUUAAAACAUAUUAAAAACAUAAAACAUGCCGCCUAUAUUGCUAUCAUUAUAUAUUACCGCCUGAAAUUUAAUUCACUCAGUGCUGCUCACGCUGUUUGUUUACUUUUUUUCUAUUGAUCUUGGUUUGGGUGAUGCAUUUAGCCUACGGAAUUUCACUUCCAACUUUCCACCGGGCUUGUGCGCUGCCACCUGUUAGCACCACAGCACGCCUCGCACCUCUCAGAGUGGCCUACGGUCAGCUCCGCUGCUGGUGUAAAGGGGGUCUACCUCCAGUGAUUUAGGCCGCAGAGACAGCCCGAGCCUCCCCUGCCCUAAAUUCCACCUGGAGGGUGAUUUAAGCGCUGCUGCAAAUCACCGUGCAAGCUGGGGCUCCGUGGGAGAGUCGGGUCCGUGCUGCGAUGCCAGUUGCACAAUCUCACUUGAAGCACGGAGAGUGGUGCAGCACGGGCCGUGGCUUUAAAAGGUCAGCAUAAAUAUGCCGCCCUCACUCCUUCGCUCGUAAGUAAUGUCUGUGCUGAGAGUUUUUACCUGGUUUUCAGGCUGUCUUCAGCCGCACUGAGCAUUGUCCCAGAAAAGGCUGUUUUCAAGUGGCUUUACUAAUGCUGGACCAAGCGUGGCCUCUGAGCGGCCUGCUUUUCUGCCUUUUCAUCCUCAUCUUGACGCGGUUAGGCAGGGGGUGUCUCAAGCAUGCUGUCCCUGCCCACAUCCUUCUCCACCCCACCGGGAAGGUGAGCAGGCAGAGCAGGCAGGAGCCAGCUCCCGCGGGUCCCUCAGGCUGAAGAUGUGCCACUUCCACAGGGUCUGGGGACUUCUGGCAGUAGGAGGCAGCACCACCUUGGCUGUGCAGAGGCACAGAAGCAGCUCUGGAGUGGCUCGGGAUUUUCAGAGGGUUUGUCGAGAGCCUGCUGUAUGGACGUACGGGUUUUCAAACCUUUCCCUUGGAGCGUGUCUACACGGCAGCCCGAGCUGCGCCUGCAGCUGGAGCAGGGUGACCGACACGAAAUGAAACCUGGCUAGCUCGGGAAUGAAUAACAUAGAGCCCCACAGCCCCAAAACCGGCCCAGAAGGCUGUAGAAACGGGGCUGGCAGGGCUCCACGCGUGCCAGGGCACCACCUUCAGCCUCCAGCUGGCUUGGCUUGCUCUCCGAGAGCAGGGAUCUCCCAGAACAGGAUGGCCCCGCGGAUAUUCGCGCUAGCACCAUCACACCAACAGCCCCCUCCUGCCACUGCGGGCUUUGCACAUUGUUUCUCCCUUCUGUGAUGACAUGGCACUUCUCCGGCAGCUUGUCGCUCGCUGCUUAGCUAAAAAGCAUGAAUUUCUGGAAAGUAACACGCAUUACCCUCUCCUGAUGUGAGGCAGCAGCUACAGAUGGGACAGCCUGCCCUAGCCAGCCGGCCAGAUCCCACAGGCAGUGCUGCGCUCAGGCUGGGCGCACAGACGGAGUUUUUUGGGUUUUUGCUCUCGUUGGGUGGCAGGCACCAACCGCUGGCACCUCCAUUUCUAACCAGACAUCCCUCGUGUUUGAAGGAGGUGCGUGCACCCGGGUCUGUAACCUGCCGUGCAGAUCGAUGUAGACUUUCAUGUAGAUGGAGCCUGUGGGUGUUAUGGUUUGUACAGGUCUAAGGAGGAAUCAGUGUGGGAUUUGCACAGGUGUAGCUUAUCUCACAUCCAAGGAGGAUGCAAAAAGCACGUUAACCCAACCCCAGAUCAUGGCUGAAAUGCCCCACGGGCAGCAAGGGCCUGCGUGGGCACCUAGGGCUGUGGCUGGCAAUGCCGUGGGACGAGGCCCACAGCCUGCCCCAUGGCCACGAUACAGCCACCCCAAUUUCCAAGGGUGCAUUGGUGGUGCGCAUGGGGCUGGGAUCACGAGUGGGGCUGGGAUCACGAGUGGGGCCGGGAUCACGCAUGGGAUUAGGAUCACGCGAGGGGGACACCAGAGCGGACUUAUUAAAAAAAAAAAACACAAUAACACCCCCAAAUCCCCCAAACAACCCCGAUCCCAACUUCUGCCGGCGGAACAUUUUGGGGUGCAAGUUGCCACCGGCUCCCCCUUACCCCCCCUUCCCCAAAUGCCGCGGGCUGUGCCCUCCCCCCCCGCGUCCCCUUCG